rnacentral:sRNA from 1 species
GCCAGGCGUGGUGGCACAUGCCUGUAAUCCCAGCAACUCAGGAGGCUGAGGCAGGAGGAUCUCGAGUUCAAAACCAGCCUCAGCAAAAAGUGAGGAGCUAAGCAACUCAGUGAGACCCUGUCUCUA